GGUUUUUCAGGAUUUUAAUUUCUUUCUAAGCUUGUGAUUUUGGAUACUACGGACCGUCUUGUGAAAAGGAAUGCCCAGACUGCUACUGGGACAAGCCGUGCAAUAGCAUAUCUGGAAAGUGUGAGGACACUGCAGUUUGUACUGAGCCAGAGGAUGUAGGUGUCUGUAAUUUAGGCAAGUACAGCUUGAAAUGUCCUCUUGGGCCUGGCUGGUGGUACUGGAAUGGAUGUUGUUACUUUAUAGAAAGGAAUAGAACUCUGAGUUGGAUGGAAGCCAGGCUGUUUUGCGACCAUUUUAAAAGAACAAGUCUGUUGCAGCUGGAAUCGUCAGCUGAAAAGAACUGGCUACAAAAGAUGAUAAAACAGCCAGCAUGGAUAGGAAUGAAAUGGGAAACAUCAGCAUCUGAGUGGCAGUGGGCAGAUGGAUCAAGAGUAAACACAGCUCUGAACUGCUGAAGACAUGUUUCAGUUUUAUGCAGGCCACAUAAUAACGCAAAGACAGAAUUUGUUGCCAAAAGUAUACUCUUCCCUCGAAUCUGCUGAAAAUGCAUGCCUGUAUGAGAAAACACAUUGUACUGGAGUAGUCCGUUCACAGAAACGGUAUCAUUUGGUUAGUGGAACAGAGGUAUU
rnacentral:lncRNA from 1 species